CCCUUAGAUGUUCUGGGCCGCACGCGCGCUACACUGAACAUAUCAGCUUGUUUUUCCCUUCCUGAGAAGGACGGGUAAACCCCUGAGCCAUGUUCGUGGUAGGGAUUGGGGCUUGCAAUUAUUCCCCACGAACCAGGAAUUCCCAGUAGGCGCAAGUCAUAAGCUUGCGUCGAUUACGUCCCUGCCCUUUGUACACACCGCCCGUCGCUACUACCGAUUGAGUGAUCCGGUGAAUAAUUCGGACUGCAGCACUGCUUGGUCUCCAGGCUUUGCAGCGGAAAGUUUAGUGAACCUUAUCACUUAGAGGAAGGAGAAGUCGUAACA
rnacentral:rRNA from 1 species